AUGAACGCUGGCGGCGUGCUUAACACAUGCAAGUCGAACGAGAAGUGGAGACGGAAACCUUCGGGCGGAAGACUUUACUUCGAGUGGCGGACGGGUGAGUAACGCGUGGGUAACCUGCCUCAUACAGGGGGAUAACAGUUGGAAACGACUGUUAAUACCGCAUAAGACCACAGCACCGCAUGGUGCGGGGGUAAAAACUCCGGUGGUAUGAGAUGGACCCGCGUUCGAUUAGCCAGUUGGCGGGGUAACGGCCCACCAAAGCGACGAUCGAUAGCCGAUCUGAGAGGAGGAGAGGCCAGAUUGGGGAUGAGACACGGACCAAACUCCGACGGGAGGAAGCAGUGGGGAAUAUUGCAAGAUGGGGGAAACCCUGAUGACGCGACGCCGCGGGAGUGAAGAAGUAUUGAGGUAUGUAAAGCUCUAUCAGCAGGGAAGAAAAUGGCAGUACCUGAGUAAGAAGCCCCGGCUAACUACGUG
rnacentral:rRNA from 1 species